rnacentral:rRNA from 1 species
AUUGAACGCUGGCGGCAGGCCUAACACAUGCAAGUCGAACGGUAACAGGAAGAAGCUUGCUUCUUUGCUGACGAGUGGCGGACGGGUGAGUAAUGUCUGGGAAACUGCCUGAUGGAGGGGGAUAACUACUGGAAACGGUAGCUAAUACCGCAUAACGUCGCAAGACCAAAGAGGGGGACCUUCGUGCCUCUUGCCAUCGGAUGUGCCCAGAUGGGAUUAGCUAGUAGGUGGGGUAACGGCUCACCUAGGCGACGGUCCCUAGCUGGUCUGAGAGGAUGACCAGCCACAGUGAAGGUGAGACGCGACCCAGGCUCCGACGUGAGGCAGCGGUGGGGAAUAUAGCACACAGGGCGCAAGCCUGAUGCAGCCAUGCCCGUGUAUGAAGAAGGCCUUCGGGUUGUAAAGUACUUUCAGCGGGGAGGAAGGGAGUAAAGUUGAUACCUUUGCUCAUUGACGUUACCCGCAGAAGAAGCACCGGCUAACUCCGUG